rnacentral:rRNA from 1 species
UACGAAGGGGGCUAGCGUUGUUCGGAAUUACUGGGCGUAAAGCGCACGUAGGCGGAUAUUUAAGUCAGGGGUGAAAUCCCAGAGCUCAACUCUGGAACUGCCUUUGAUACUGGCUGUCUUGAGUAUGGGAGAGGUGAGUGGAACUCCGAGUGUAGAGGUGAAAUUCGUAGAUAUUCGGAAGAACACCAGUGGCGAAGGCGACUCACUGGCCCAUUACUGACGCUGAGGCGCGAAAGCGUGGGGAGCAAACAGG